AAUGACGUGGCAACCUGGAGCUCAUACACUGACAGACAGAGAGAGAGGGCUUUGAAAAAUGGCAAUGGCUUGGAGGCUUCCCACCCUGCUAGCAACACCAGGAAACCUCCAUCACCAUGACUCCGAAACGCUAUCGUUCCAAGCCUCGCUGUCAUGAUGCCGGAGUUUAGCUACAGACCAUCUCCUUCCUUCGUCAUCUUCUUCCACCUCUACCGCCACUCUUUUGUAUCCUCCCUUCAACAGGAAAGCUUUCAUUUUUCCAUUUUUAUUCACAAAUCGCAAAAAAAAUCCCAUAUUUUUGUUUACAAACUUGAAAAGAACCCAUAUUUGUUUUCAAAUUUGAAAAGAACUGAAUUUUCAAUUUUUGAUUUGUGUGUGCAGGGACCAAUACGUGGCGUUUCAUGAAAUGUACGGCCAGGGCGAGAGCUGGGGCUGUGAAUCUUGCUUGGAGGACACUCGUCAGACCCUCCAGCAUACUGGUGGUCGACGCCACCGAGACUUUGGGGAGGCAGAUUGUGAGGAGAGCACUUCAUGAGGGACAUGAUGCUAGGUGCUUGGUUAGACCGAGACCAACCCCUGACGAUUUUCUAAGAGAUUGGCGUGCUACUGUUGUCAAUGUAGAUUGGGAAGGAAAAGUUGCUCUUACACAAUGAAGUUAUUUUAUUUGUUUUCUAUUCCAUCCACAACUGUGACAAGCAUCCCGAAGUUCCACUUAUGGAGAUCAAGUAUUGCACUGAAAAGUUUCUCCAGGAUUCAUGCAUAAAUUAAAUCACGUCAUAAUUCGUUUAUGUGGAUUCAUGGAAGCAGGGGAUUAUUGGACAGUAUGCAGUAUUGCAGUGCCUAUAUUAGAAGAGAAAUCAGUAUGGGGAACAGAUGGCCCCACAAGAAUUGCAUACAUGGACACCCAGUUUAAUCAUGCAUUGACCGUUUCCCUGGUUGAUGUUAGAAAUACCUUCUUUUUGUUUACCUCUCGUUAUGGUAUCUGAACACUUUUUAUUUUUGGUAUUAGUAUGUAGCUCCUCUGACCCUUAUAGGUUUAAGAAAUGAGAAAGUCAGCGGGAAGCUUCUCACAUUUGCUGGCCCCUCGCGCUUGGACAACCCAAGAGGUAAUAACAUUGUGUGAAAGGUUUGCGGGGCAAGAGGCAAAUAUAACAAGAGUUCCAGUUUCUAUCUUGAGAGUAACCCGUCAGCUAACAAGGCUUUUUGAGUGCACAAAUGAUGUUGCUGAUAGAUUGGCAUUUUCAGAGGUAACUUCUUAAAAUGAAAGAUGUGAAUCUGAUAAAAGAAAAUCGUAUUUCAGAAUGUUUUAUUUGCACUCAUUUUUUUCUUUCUUUUUGUUCGUAUGUUUAUGAGGAAAUUAGAAACAAGCUCAAAGGCCUUGCACUUUUUUCUUUUCUCAAUAUCGUUGAUUCUAUAUCAAAUUUUGUCAAUAUAGUUAUCAAUGACAAAGAAGGUCAAGUAAUUUUCUCAA